AUUGAACGCUGGCGGCAUGCUUUACACAUGCAAGUCGAACGGUAACAGGCCUUCGGGUGCUGACGAGUGGCGAACGGGUGAGUAAUGCAUCGGAACGUGCCCAGAGGUGGGGGAUAACGCAGCGAAAGCUGUGCUAAUACCGCAUGUGAUCUGAGGAUGAAAGCGGGGGACCAGGCAGCAAUGUUUGGCCUCGCGCCUUUGGAGCGGCCGAUGUCAGAUUAGGCAGUUGGUGGGGUAAAGGCCUACCAAGCCGACGAUCUGUAGCUGGUCUGAGAGGACGACCAGCCACACUGGGACUGAGACACGGCCCAGACUCCUACGGGAGGCAGCAGUGGGGAAUUUUGGACAAUGGGCGCAAGCCUGAUCCAGCAAUGCCGCGUGCGGGAAGAAGGCCUUCGGGUUGUAAACCGCUUUUGUACGGAACGAAAAGGCUCUGGCUAAUACCUGGGGCUGAUGACGGUACCGUAAGAAUAAGCACCGGCUAACUACGUG
rnacentral:rRNA from 1 species